rnacentral:rRNA from 1 species
UUUAUGAAGGGUUUGAUCUUGGCUCAGAACGAACGCUGGCGGCGUGGAUUAGGCAUGCAAGUCGAACGAGGAUAUAUCCUUCGGGAUAUAAGCCGAGUGGCGCAAGGGUGAGUAAUGCAUAGAUUACCUGCCUCUAGGAUAAGGACAACUUUGUGAAAACGAAGCUAAUACUUAAUAAUACAAAAGAAAAUAAUUUUCUUUUGUCAAUGGGAGGGUAGCAAUACCUUUUGCCUAGAGAGGGGUUUAUGUCCUAUCAGCUUGUUGGUGGGGUAAUGGCCUACCAAGGCGAAGACGGGUAGCCGGUCUUAGAGGAUGGUCGGCCACACUGGGACUGAGACACUGCCCAGACUUCUACGGAAGGCUGCAGUCGAGAAUCUUUCGCAAUGCCCGAAAGGGUGACGAAGCGACGCCGCGUGAGUGAGGAAGGCCCUCGGGUUGUAAAGCUCUGUCAGGAGUUAAGAAAUGUAAGUGUGCUAAUACCACAUUUAUUUGACGAAGGCUCCAAAGGAAGCCACGGCUAACUCUGUGCCAGCAGCCGCGGUAAUACAGAGGUGGCAAGCGUUGUUCGGAAUUAUUGGGCGUAAAGAGCACGUAGGUGGGUUUGUAAGUCAGAUGUGAAAGCCUUCUGUUCAACGGAAGAAUUGCAUCUGAAACUGCGAGUCUUGAGUGUAGGAGGGGAGAAUGGAACUUCUGGUGGAGCGGUGAAAUGCGUAGAUAUCAGAAGGAACGCCGGCGGCGAAAGCGAUUCUCUGGCCUAUUACUGACACUCAGUGUGCGAAAGCUAGGGGAGCAAACGGGAUUAGAUACCCCGGUAGUCCUAGCCGUAAACGAUGGGCACUAAGUAGAGGGAAUUACCGAUGUUCUCUCUGCCGUAGCUAACGCAUUAAGUGCCCCGCCUGGGGAGUACGGCCGCAAGGCUAAAACUCAAAAGAAGUGACGGGGGCUCGCACAAGCGGUGGAGCAUGUGGCUUAAUUCGAUGCACCGCGAAAAACCUUACCGGGGCUUGACAUGGUAGAAGUAGGAACCCGAAAGGGUAACGAACGGUAUCCAGUCCGUAGCUAUCACAGGUGUUGCAUGGCUGUCGUCAGCUCGUGUCGUGAGACGUUGGGUUAAGUCCCCUAACGAGCGAAACCCUUGUUUUUAGUUACCAGCGGGUUGUGCCGGGUACUCUAGAAAGACUGCCGUCGUCAAGACGGAGGAAGGUGGGGAUGACGUCAAGUCAUCAUGGCCCUUAUGCCCCGGGCUGCACACGUGCUACAAUGGUCGGUACAAACGGAAGCGAAGCCGAGAGGUGAAGCGAAUCCUAAAAAGCCGAUCUCAGUUCGGAUUGGAGGCUGAAAUUCGCCUCCAUGAAGUUGGAAUCGCUAGUAAUCGCGGAUCAGCAAUGCCGCGGUGAAUAUGUUCCCGAGCCUUGUACACACCGCCCGUCAAGCCACCCAAGCAGGAUGCACCCGAAAACAUUAUAUCUAACCAGGUUUACCUGGGGGAAAGUGUUGAAGGAGUGUUUUGUGAGGAGGACUAAGUCGUAACAAGGUAGUCGUAGGAGAACCUGCGGCUGGAUCACCUCCUUU